UGUAGGAAAAUCAGUGGGAGCUUGACUAUGAACGAACGUGUGUGAAGUUCAUGCAAAGUAGUAUGUAGUAAGUUGGUGUUUUAGACUGUCCACUCGACAGUCUUACCACAGAAUACCAUCCUGCGUACUUUUGUGAGAAGUUCCCGAAAUAUAUCGUACAGUUAUUCACGCGUGUAUCAUAGCUCGUUUGCAGACAGUGUUUUGUGUUAGCAUUCAUUAGCAAAGUGAAUGGACUCUUAGCCAGUAUAGCUAACUCAGCUGUAUACUGUUGGACUAGUUCACGGGUUUCGACGUGAAAACCCUGGAGAGUUAUCGGAAAGUUACAACUGCGAAGUCAAAGCUCCGAGUUCGUUAGAAAGAGGGACACCGACCACGCCAGUUUGGACGCACGCUCGCACCCCUAUUGACACCAGAGACCGAGAGACGACAGCGGCAGAGCGCGGGACAGACCACGCUUUCUUUGGACACCUGCUUGCCCUUGUUUUGCUGGAGACCGGGAAAGACUGUUGAACUCUGCACAGUGGACUGAACUGUUGCUUAAGCACACAGUGGGCCUCUGGAGAAGGUGAUCGUCUGGUUCCUCUCUCUGAGCUGUCAUGAGGAAAGCAUCGCUGCUGCUGCUGCUUCUGCUUCUGCUGCCUCCAGACUCCAGGCAGGGCAGGCUGCCACCAAGUUGAUAAAGUGAGCCAUUUUGCACACAGGCAAGAUUACUCUCAAGGACAGAGAUUAAAGUGGCUUCUGUUUGAGUUGUACCCCCCAACAAACACACACACAUACAGAGAACGAGAGAGAAAAGCGUGUGCAUUGAUACUGAUACCCUUUUAAAUUAAUUGUUUGCACAGUGAUCACAGCAUCAAAGCAUAAGAACAUACAGCUGCAAUAACAGUUUACAUGCUGGUGAAAAAAAGCCUUGCAUUAAAGAACUCGUUUGCAAAGAACACUGUGAAUUUAGCACCACCUGUGGCAGUUAGUGUGGUUACUGAGAGGAUAAUUUCAAUUUAUUGCAACUUGUGUCUUAUUGUGGGCCACAUUUAUCGUUUUGAUGUCACUGUACUCACCAAAGUAAAGAUAUGAAGUUGCAAGAAACAUGCGGAGUAAGAUGAUCAGAAAGGUCAUAAACAAGUACGCAGUUUAGCCAGAUUCUCACUUAAUUUGGAGGUGAAACUCAAAAUGAGUGCACCCAAAAUGAUGGUCAUUAUAACUGCAGCAUGGUAGGUCAACGUUAUAACCAAGAAAUAGAUGUGUAAACUGGGUGCAGGUCUUUACAGGCACUUUGGGUGAUUUUUACUGUUUGUCUUUGUUUUUUUCUUCCAAAUAAACUUGGCUUGGCUUUUAGCAAUGACUUUAAUGAGAUUCCCAUGUUAUCAAAUAACUUGGUGAGUGCAGUUUUAUUAUUACUGGAAGAAAUAAUGGCCCAAUCUAUGAAAAUUAGAUCCAAAUUGUAAUUAACCACAAUUACCAUUUAGAGCAGUAGUUUAACAUUUCGGGACAUACACUUCACUUUCUUGCCAAGAGUUAGAUGAGAAGAUUGAUACCACUCUCAAGUGCUGAAUUAGGCUAUAGCCAACAGCCACUUAGCUUAGCUUAGAAUAAAGACUGGAGGCAGGGGAAACUAGCUAGGCUUUGUUCGAAGUUAAAAAAAUCUGCCUACCAGCACCUGUAAAGCCCACUACUUACCACAUUAUUUCUUUUUUGUCUCAUACAUAAAAAAACUAAGAAACUAUAGUGAGAAGUAGUAUGGCACAAUAACCCAAGGCAAAACUGCUAUUUUUCAUUUUUACACUUCCUUUUUGGUAUAAAAAGAUUAUAAUAAAUUAGAUACGUUAAUUGUGAACAUUAGAGUUGCUGGAUUUUCUUCUGACAGACCCAAUCUAGCUGUUAUCCCCUGUUUCCAAUCUUUAUGCGAAGCUAAGCCAGCAGCCGGUUAGCUAAACUAACCUCUGCUUAAAGUUCCUGUGUUGGCAGUACAGUAUUUUCUCUACCAAAUCCAUUAACAAGUCUGCAAAUAAUGCUAUAUUGCUAUCUAAUAUUGGCCAAUGAACAUAGACACUAGCAUUUUGGAUGUGAAAAUGAAGCUGUCCAAAAAUGAUCAUGCCUCAGUGCAGUGAAAGGGAGACCACUGAGAUAGCUUAUAGCUUUAAUAGUGCUGUUUUUUUCAGUAGAGGGUUGGAAAGAUAAUUCAGUUAAACAAGCAAGAAAAUUUUAUUUGAAGUUGAUGCUAUCCUCCAGAUAGCAUCCUUUAGCAGCUAUCAAUUACAAGCAUGGAUUCCUAUAAAUUAAUACAUUUUUGUACUAAUAAAUCUGAGUUACUCUUGAAAACUCCUUUUUACAUUCUUCAUAUUUGCAAUGAAACUACAUUCCAGAUACAUAAUUCAGUGCUUUCUGAUGAGACAUGAUAUGCAUGCACAUUGUUCCAGUAGUUCAAGCAUUCUUGAGGACCAAUUGGAUGAGUGAAAUUUGCUUCAGCACAGAGUUAACGAUUAUACAAAAGACACAACACAGCACCCUCUCUUCUUGGCUGGUACUUAUCAGAGCAGAAAGCCUUAAUUAAUUCAUGGCUGGCUGAUGUUCUGUUCAGACUGGUUGAGUUUGAAUUAUUGUGCAUUGUUGAAUAUGUAAACAGCUGGCAACCAGACAUGUUUUGAUACACUGGGAAUUAAACACAAGACCCACUGGACUUUUAAAAAUAAAUUACUUUGUGGUGAAAUUGAUUUGAUUCUAUGUAUUUUAGAUUAAGAUAAAAUAGCCAGUAGAUUCAAGUAGAUUGUUACAUAUUGUGAAAUAGACCUCAAUGCAUUUAUGCUGUUCCACAUAGUAGAGAAGAAAAAGACAAAAAAAAAAACAAACCUGCCACAUAACUAUUUUAAAUUCUAGAAGAGAUUUCCAAAAAGCUGCCUAUUGAAGGGGCCCUGCUCUAUGAAUUGCCUCUCUAAAAAUGUAUUGGGCAGUUUUUCCUUCUCCUCUUAGAGUGCUUUGGCUGGAUUUGGGACCAUUCCUGAGGCUGGCAUGAAAAUCCCAUUGAGAUAUUGUAUUGUAUGUGAUAUUGGUCUCCACAAAUAAAGAUGACUUCAAUCUUGAC